rnacentral:rRNA from 1 species
CACGUAGGGUGCGAGCGUUGUCCGGAAUUAUUGGGCGUAAAGAGCUCGUAGGCGGUGUGUCGCGUCGGCCGUGGAAACCUGCAGCUUAACUGUGGGCUUGCGGUCGAUACGGGCAUCACUGGAGUUCGGCAGGGGAGACUGGAAUUCCUGGUGUAGCGGUGAAAUGCGCAGAUAUCAGGAGGAACACCGGUGGCGAAGGCGGGUCUCUGGGCCGAUACUGACGCUGAGGAGCGAAAGCGUGGGGAGCGAACAGG